AGCAGCCGCGGUAAUUCCAGCUCCAAUAGCGUAUAUUAAAGUUGUUGCAGUUAAAAAGCUCGUAGUUGAAUUUCGGGGUCAGUAGGUUGGUCAUGCCUCCGGUAUGUACUGGUCUCACUGAUUCCUCCUUCCUGAUGAGCCGUAAUGCCAUUAAUUUGGUGUUGCGGGGAAUCUGGACUGUUACUUUGAAAAAAUUAGAGUGUUUAAAGCAAGCUAACGCUUGAAUACAUUAGCAUGGAAUAAUGGAAUAGGACGUUCGAUCCUAUUUUGUUGGUUUCUAGGAUUGACGUAAUGAUUAAUAGGGAUAGUUGGGGGCAUUAGUAUUCAAUUGUCAGAGGUGAAAUUCUUGGAUUUAUUGAAGACUAACUACUGCGAAAGCAUUUGCCAAGGAUGUUUUCAUUAAUCAAGAACGAAAGUUAGGGGAUCGAAGACGAUCAGAUACCGUCGUAGUCUUAACCAUAAACUAUGACCGACUAGGGAUCGGAUGAUGUUAAAUUUUUAUGUACUCAUUCGGCUACCG
rnacentral:rRNA from 1 species